rnacentral:rRNA from 1 species
UGCGCAGGCGGGGAUGUAAGUCAGUGGUGAAAUACUGCCGCUUAACGGUAGGGUUGCCAUUGAUACUGCAUUUCUUGAGUUUGGAUGAGGUAGGCGGAAUGUGUGGUGUAGCGGUGAAAUGCAUAGAUAUCACACAGAACACCGAUUGCGAAGGCAGCUUACUAAUCCAUGACUGACGCUGAGGCACGAAAGCGUGGGGAGCGAACAGGAUUAGAUACCCUGGUAGUCC